ensembl:lncRNA
AUUUUUUUUUUUUAAUUUUUUUUUUUAACUGAGGGGGGGGGGGGGGGGGGGGAAGAAAAGGGAAUUCAGGGUUUUGAGAGAAAACUAUGCGUCUUUGCAUGGUCUCGUGUUUGUGGAGGCAGGGGCUAGAGAGGACAGGACUCGUGUCCCGGCUGUGUUUUCCCUACGGAGCUACUAAGGUACAUCUAUUUUUGUCGCGCUUUGUACUUUUAACUCUGAAGGCAAUCUAGCGGGAACCUGAUUUGUUUACAGAAGCACCUUCCCUGUGAAUUCUUCAGGAAAUGUACAAUCUGUUUCGUUGCCCUUCGCUGUGUUUGCUCAGAGACCUUGUCCCCGCCAACCCUUCCUCCCCCUUGAGGCCUUCCUCCUCUCUGAGGCCGGAGCAGGGCCCAUGUUACAGGCCGGGGCCUGUGUCGGCUGGCGGAGCUGGAAGGUGCUGGCCAAAGCAUUGCGCUGCUGGCAGCUCGGGGAAGGUUCCUAGCGGAAGCACGGGGAAGGCUGGGGAAAUAGGAUCAGCUGGUAAUGUGGUAUGUCUUCUCUCGCCGCAACUAUUUGCAGCAAAUGAAUGAGUCAUCCGCUCUUCUGAGGGGGCUGAGAAUCUAUAGCGGUGGCACAACCACAGAAUGCUGAUAGUACAUGACACAAUGUAUUUUUCCAUCGAAGGACCCUUUUUCCAUUGCUUAGAAGAAAGUUUUGAUUUACUUCCUCUCCGCUCAAAUUUUAUUGUGUUUUUAUGAUUGACAGCAGCUAGUUACCUUAUAGUGCAUGCAGCAGGGCUCUGAGCUAAACUGCACCUUUCAGCGUUUGCAUUUUGAUACAUAUAUAAUAUGUUUUUAUAUAUAUUAUAUAGGUAUUCUUGAUCUGUUUUGCAUAUGUUAAUGAGCGAGUGGUGGAACUGGUGGAGCUUUGUUGUAUCUGUGACGGGAGUUUAAAAGGUGCCCGGUGUUAGAGGUGGGAAGAAGGCGUGAGCUCAGGCCAAGAGUUAAAUAAGAACCCCUUUUCAAAGCUGGUUUAUUCCUGCGGUUUGCUCACCUUCCUCUCCAUAAAGUAUGACUUUUUUGAACUGUUUCCCCUCUCCCGCCCUUCGCUACACUGAUACUUUUAAAGUUAACAACCGCAUUCUUGCUUUGUAGACUUCAUUUUUCUCAUCCAGUCAACUGCAAGGCUACAACUUGCUGCAAGAGACAGUGCCCCUUUUAAAGAGCUGAACUGAUUAAAAACAUUGACCUGAUUACAGUAAAACUGUUUGUUCCGCAGCUGAAUUUAUUGCUAACCAAGAGGGAGCUAAACUUGGUUCAGUGGAGCUAUCGUGAAACAACUGAGAGCUUUGAAAUUGGAUUUUUUUUCAUAGAUGUAGCUGUCCCCCCAGUGCAAGAACACUUCUUCCAAAAAUAGAAGGGCAGUUAGAAGACCAAAAAGAUGAUAUUUUUCUAGUUUUAUUGCACUUAAAAUAUUUAUGUUUUGUCUUGCACAAAGGCCUUUACACAGAUCUUCAAAACACCUCUUACUCAGUGCUUGGUUUGCAUUGUGUCAGAAGCUCCUACCAGUUCAAAAAAGCUUUUUUUUUUUUUUUUUUUAAUUGAGAAAAUGAAGUGUGUUAGAUAAAACUGCACAGAAGAGGAAAAACUGUAAUUGCAUAUUCAGCUCCUAUUUGAAUAUAUUCUUUUGUAUGGUUUUCUUUAUGCAGAGAGUUUCCCUUGCGAGAAAGGAAAUCAGUGUACUGUUUUGCUGUUGUAAUAAUGGUUUGCUAAGAAAAUAAAUAGUAAAAAAAAGAAAAGGAAAAAAAAAAGCCUGCAAAUUUCAAGACAGCUUGGCUGAAGCACUGCAGGCUCCUGCAGUCUGUAGGAGUCUGUGCAGAUUUGCUUUCCCUCAGAUUUCCUUACAACUGUUGCCUUCUGCAAGGCAUCCUGUUGCAGCAAACUGCUCCUUGGAUUGCUCUUUUGGAACAUUUUGACUAUAGGCGUUGUCAGAGAAAGAAAAAGAGCUGAUGGAAAACAGACUCUAGAGGGAACAGAUUGUGAAUUUUGUUUACAGCAUCCAAUAUUUGGAUUUUUUUUGUAAAUAAAAAGAAGUUAUUUUUUUCU